rnacentral:rRNA from 1 species
GACGAACGCUGGCGGCGUGCUUAACACAUGCAAGUCGAACGGAAAGGCCCUGCUUUUGUGGGGUUCUCGAGUGGCGAACGGGUGAGUAACACGUGAGUAACCUGCCCUUGACUUUGGGAUAACUUCAGGAAACUGGGGCUAAUACCGGAUAUGAUCUCCUGCUGCAUGGUGGGGGUUGGAAAGUUUCGGCGGUUGGGGAUGGACUCGCGGCUUAUCAGCUUGUUGGUGGGGUAGUGGCUUACCAAGGCUUUGACGGGUAGCCUGCCUGAGAGGGUGAACGGCGACAUUAGGACUGAGAGACGGACCAGAAUGGUACGGGAGGCAGCAGUGGGGAAUAUUACACAAUGGGCGGAAGCCUGAUGCAGAAACGCCGCGUGCGGGAUGACGGCCUUCGGGUUGUAAACCGCUGUCGCCUGUGACGAAGAGUGAGUGACGGUAAUGGGUAAAGAAGCACCGGCUAACUACGUG